rnacentral:rRNA from 1 species
UACGUAGGGUGCGAGCGUUGUCCGGAAUUAUUGGGCGUAAAGAGCUCGUAGGCGGCUUGUCGCGUCGGUUGUGAAAGCCCGGGGCUUAACCCCGGGUCUGCAGUCGAUACGGGCAGGCUAGAGUUCGGUAGGGGAGAUCGGAAUUCCUGGUGUAGCGGUGAAAUGCGCAGAUAUCAGGAGGAACACCGGUGGCGAAGGCGGAUCUCUGGGCCGUAACUGACGCUGAAACACGAAAGCGUGGGUAGCAAACAGG